UUUAUUUAUAUAUAACUCUAAACCCUGGGAUAAAAGAUUGGGGAAUGAAUCUGUGUUUGAAGUUGAGGAAAAUCGAAACAGUGCUUGUUUAGCAAUGGCGCGCGAGCAACACUCAUCAUCGAAUUCGAAGGGACCUUUGUUUCUCGACGCAGUACCUUUGUUCGUCGUGAUUCUAAUAGCCGCUCAUGUCCUCGCCGUGGUAUAUUGGAUUUCUAGAUUAGCCACCCAGAAACAGUCACAGAGGCGAAAGUCUCACUGAUGGAUGAGGUUGGUCAUUGAUUCAUUCAUGGCUGAAAACUGAAACCCUAAAUUCAUCAAAAUUGACAGUCUUGCCCCUUCUACAUAGGCUUUGUAAUUUGAAUUGAUGCAAAUAGAUUGUUGAUUGGUUAAGCAUUUUAAUUUUUGCUUUAUCAUCAUAUGAUUCUGCACUUGGUUAUAUUAUUUGGAAUAUUAGUUUAUGAUGUCUUGUUAUGUUACAGAACUUUUAAAUUAAGGAAAUUUAUUGAUUUUUACCC